rnacentral:rRNA from 1 species
AUUGAACGCUGGCGGCAUGCCUUACACAUGCAAGUCGAACGGCAGCACGGGUGCUUGCACCUGGUGGCGAGUGGCGAACGGGUGAGUAAUACAUCGGAACACGUCCUGUAGUGGGGGAUAGCCCGGCGAAAGCCGGAUUAAUACCGCAUACGAACUACGGAUGAAAGCGUGGGACCUGCGGGCCUCGCGCUAUAGGGUUGGCCGCUGGCUGAUUAGCUAGUUGGUGGGGUAAAGGCCUACCAAGGCGACGAGCCGUAGCUGGUCUGAGAGGAGGACCAGCAACACUGGAACUGAGACACGGCCCAGACUCCUACGGGAGGCAGCAGUGGGGAAUUUUGGACAAGGGGGGAAGGCCUGAUCCAGCAAUGCCGCGUGUGUGAAGAAGGCCUUCGGGUUGUAAAGCACUUUUGUCCGGAAAGAAAUCCUUGGCUCUAAUACAGUCGGGGGAUGACGGUACCGGAAGAAUAAGCACCGGCUAACUACGUG